rnacentral:rRNA from 1 species
UACAGAGGUGGCAAGCGUUGUUCGGAAUUACUGGGCGUAAAGGGCGCGUAGGCGGCCCGUCAAGUCCCGUGUGAAAGCCCCCGGCUCAACCGGGGAACGGCGCGGGAAACUAGCAGGCUUGAGUUCGGGAGAGGGAAGCGGAAUUCCGGGUGUAGCGGUGAAGUGCGCAGAUAUCCGGAGGAACACCGGUGGCGAAGGCGGCUUCCUGGACCGACACUGACGCUGAGGCGCGAAAGCUAGGGGAGCAAACGGG